rnacentral:rRNA from 1 species
CAGCAGCCGCGGGAAUACAGAGGAUGCAAGCGUUAUCCGGAAUGAUUGGGCGUAAAGCGUCUGUAGGUGGCUUUUCAAGUCCGCCGUCAAAUCCCAGGGCUCAACCCUGGACAGGCGGUGGAAACUACCAAGCUGGAGUACGGUAGGGGUAGAGGGAAUUUCCGGUGGAGCGGUGAAAUGCGUUGAGAUCGCAAAGAACACCAACGGCGAAAGCACUCUGCUGGGUGGACAUUGACACUGAGGCGCGAAAGCGUGGGGAGCAAACAGGAUUAGAUACCCCCGUAGUCCCUGUCUCUUAUAC